UUGAUGGAGAUCAGGCAGAGAGGCCUCAACAUGAGCGGAGGCCAGAACUACAUGAUUCAGGGACAAGGUAAGGGCAUAGAGGCAUUCCUGUGAUCAUUGUCCAAGAACAAUUUUGAAUUGGAUGCUUGGUCAGAUUACCCAGUUUCCAGCCACUGGUACCCGUUGAUCAGGUCAUGCCACCAACUGACCUUGACUAGGAUGGAGAUGACUUACCAAGUGGCCGUGGAAGAGGACGUGGCCGCCAAGGAAUGGACAGGGGGAGAGUUAAAUACCCACCAGUUUGCACUAAUUGAAUUUGAGGUGUCUCUGCAAAUUGUGUAUUAUUAUGGUUGGCAGCACUCUUGCUUCAGCGGAUUAAAAGAACUUGAUUCAUUAUUCAGGAAUUUCUAAUGUAUGCAUUUGAUGUUCACAUGUAUCUACUAAGCUUUCUCUCAUGUGCUUCUUUAAGGGUUACUCUUGGUGUUGGGACUUUUUU